CCAUCGUUUACGGCUAGGACUACAGGGGUAUCUAAUCCCUUUCGCUCCCCUAGCUUUCGUCCCUGAGUGUCAGAUACAGCCCAGUAGCACGCUUUCGCCACCGAUGUUCUUCCCAAUCUCUACGCAUUUCACCGCUACACUGGGAAUUCCUGCUACCCCUACUGCUCUCUAGUCUGCCAGUUUCCACCGCCUUUAGGUCGUUAAGCAACCUGAUUUGACGGCAGACUUGGCUGACCACCUGCGGACGCUUUACGCCCAAUAAUUCCGGAUAACGCUUGCCUCCCCCGUAUUACCGCGGCUGCUGGCACGGAGUUAGCCGAGGCUGAUUCCUCAAGUACCGUCAGAACUUCUUCCUUGAGAAAAGAGGUUUACAAUCCAAAGACCUUCCUCCCUCACGCGGCGUUGCUCCGUCAGGCUUUCGCCCAUUGCGGAAAAUUCCCCACUGCUGCCUCCCGUAGGAGUCU
rnacentral:rRNA from 1 species